CAGGAAUUUGCCUAAGGGUAUGACACAGAUGAUCUCUGCCACUGUCUUUGUUGUGUUCUUAAAUGAACUGGGUGCUUCACGAAAUCCUACACUUGUGAUUCCACAUGCUGCAAGAUUUCAUGUGGCCAUCGGUACCUGCCUCCCAUGUUCUUUCUCUUUUUCUACAAAAGUAGUUUUAAAAUCCAGAAAUAUGAGGAAAGUGCCGUCAUCGUAUAUGAAACUAGUAGGCCCAAUUCUUCAACGAUUGAUUUGGUCUUAUGGUUUUUUUAAAUCAACGCAGUGUCCAUAGAAUGACUUAUGUCUUCCAGAAAAAAUAAUUUAGAUUUUUCUUUCUCAGUAGAUUUUUGAAUAAAGCAUAUUUUCUUCAGGCAGAUCUAUGCCAAGAAAAACACCUAUGUUGAUGUUUAGUUUGGAGUAAAAUUAAAAAUGCAUUAAAAUCAAUACUUUGUGACCCCACCAUUUAGUAUGAACGUGUGUGCUCAUUUUACGGCACACAGAGAACUGUUUAUGUGAGUUAACUUUAAGAGAUGUGUAGGUAAAGUGAAGUUUUUUUCUGGGAAAAUUAUUCUCUUCUGGAUACUAUGCCCUUCUCUCUUUUUCUUUUUUUUUUCCCCUUGAAAAAAAAUUACCCUGCCCCUGUGCUUCUAUAGAGAACAACUAUUUAUAUAAAAAUUUUUAAAUUUUGCAAGUCAUUGCCUGGGGUUAGUUAAAACACUUGUUUUUGAAAAUGACGAAAUACCCCUGCCUUAAAAAAUCUUUCUUAUAUUUGUAUCUAUUAAGAUAAACAGUUUACUUUGAUACGGUACAUACCAACCUAUUUAGUUAAUUAUUUUUCCAGAAUUCACUUUACUGUGUUUCGUCUAACCUUUAUGAUAACUUAAUAUAGGGACAAAUUAGCAUAUAAUUCUAUUUUCCAUGUGACCUCAACCAGUUGCAGAAUUGUACCACCACUGCCGGGGGCCCCUGGAUAGUCCAUGUAGACUGUAGCACGAAAUGUUUGUAAGUGUUCGGUGCCGCCUGGCUAGUGUUUUUGUUACCAAAAAUGUUUUAAAGUAAGCAAUUAGAAGAAACACUUCACCCCAUUACCAAGUUAUUAAAAUACCUCCUAAGUUAGCAUUUUUAAUUAGUGUACAUAAUUGAUUGGUGAUUUGUCUUCUCCCAGGCAGAAGCAGCCUGGUGACGUUCAGUGUGAUCAGAAAGUGUAAGGUACUGGGGACUGACCCUGGCAGUGAUCAUGACGACUAAAUGACUUUUUUUUUCCUUUUAGAUUCAGCCAUCGGUCUUUGAAAUUUCCUGACAUCCGUUUCAGUCUAGAUGGAAAAGAAUUGGAAAAAUCAAGCGCUCAGGGGAUUUAAAUAUGUUUUGAAUGUUUCUGUUUAUAGACGACAGUAUUUUUCCAGUUGAGCUCCUUGGUGUCCCUGUAGGGGAAGGGUAAACUCUUCUUCAUCAUCAAUUUUAUUGAAAAUGCUUAAGACAUAAAAUGUUGCUGAAAUAAUUCCUGUUUGAAACAAAGUGAAGGAAAAAAAUGAAAUAAAUUUUAUAUGGUGACU
rnacentral:lncRNA from 1 species